GCCAGAGUGGCUCAGUUGGUUGAGCAUCAUCCUGUGCACCUGAAGGUCUCAGGUUUGAUUCCUGGUCAUGGCC
rnacentral:tRNA from 1 species